AUCCGGGAGGCAGCAGUAGGGAAUCUUCCGCAAUGGACGAAAGUCUGACGGAGCAACGCCGCGUGAGUGAUGAAGGUUUUCGGAUCGUAAAGCUCUGUUGUUAGGGAAGAACAAGUGCCGUUCAAAUAGGGCGGCACCUUGACGGUACCUAACCAGAAAGCCACGGCUAACUACGUGCCAGCAGCCGCGGUAAUACGUAGGUGGCAAGCGUUGUCCGGAAUUAUUGGGCGUAAAGGGCUCGCAGGCGGUUUCUUAAGUCUGAUGUGAAAGCCCCCGGCUCAACCGGGGAGGGUCAUUGGAAACUGGGGAACUUGAGUGCAGAAGAGGAGAGUGGAAUUCCACGUGUAGCGGUGAAAUGCGUAGAGAUGUGGAGGAACACCAGUGGCGAAGGCGACUCUCUGGUCUGUAACUGACGCUGAGGAGCGAAAGCGUGGGGAGCGAACAGGAUUAGAUACCCUGGUAGUCCACGCCGUAAACGAUGAGUGCUAAGUGUUUAGGGGGGUUUUUCCCA
rnacentral:rRNA from 1 species